rnacentral:misc_RNA from 1 species
AUGCAAACUGAUAUCAUCAUCAAUCUUCUCUGCCUCUCCCCAGAGAUUCCAGUUGGGCUAGAGGCUGAGCACCUUUGGGAACAACGUUUAAGGGAAUACUUGGCCAGCAACAAGGUCAAGUUCAGGCUUUUGGCAGCCCCGGAAACCGGGGUGUGUGGGCGGUCGUUGGGGAAGGACGGAGGAGGUGGGGGGUGGGGCGGAGAUUCGAGGUCCGAGAGCAGAGCUAGGAAGUGGGGUGCUUGCUGUUUCUGUUCUUCUGGGGGCUUCCGCAGAUUUGGCGGAGUUUUGAGAAUGAGUGGAACCGGGCUGAGGGCGGAGAGAGGGAGCCAAGCAAGGAAAGGGGCCGACGUUCGCGGCGGGCGGGUGGAGAGUGAUGCACCUCGAAAAGCCCGGAAGUUGAUCCACCAGCCCGAGAACCGGCUACUCCCUGCCUUCAGCUGCUUGAUCCCUGGAGACGGAGCUCAAUUCAGAGCGAGCAGACAUCACCCUUUCUUCCCAAACCUAACUGUUUCUUUCUUUCUUUUUUCCUUCCUUCUCCCUUCUGUGCUCUCCCUCCCGUUUCCCCGGCUCCUCCGAUCUGUAUUCUCUCCAGCCCCGCAAACGCCUUUCUCCUUCCAGGGCCUCCAGAUCUCCUCGUUCGCCAACCGCAGCUGGACACGCACAGACGGCCUCGCGUGGCUGGGGGAGCUGCAGCCCUAUACUUGGCGCAAUGAAUCGGACACCAUCCGCUUCCUGAAGCCUUGGUCUCGGGGCACAUUCAGCGACCAGCAGUGGGAGCAGCUGCAGCAUACACUUCUGGUUUAUCGCAGCAGCUUCACCAGGGAUAUCUGGGAAUUCGUGGAAAAGCUGCACGUCGAAUAUCCACUUGAGAUCCAGAUAGCUACAGGAUGUGAGCUGCUCCCGAGGAACAUCUCAGAAAGCUUCUUACGUGCAGCAUUUCAAGGAAGGGAUGUCCUGAGUUUCCAAGGAAUGUCUUGGGUGUCAGCCCCAGAUGCCCCGCCUUUUAUCCAGGAGGUCAUCAAGGUGCUCAAUCAGAACCAAGGGACCAAGGAAACAGUGCACUGGCUCCUCCAUGACAUCUGGCCCGAGUUGGUCAGAGGCGUCUUGCAGACCGGGAAGUCUGAGCUGGAGAAGCAAGUGAAGCCGGAGGCUUGGCUGUCCAGUGGCCCCAGUCCUGGGCCUGGCCGUCUGCUGCUGGUGUGCCACGUCUCAGGAUUCUACCCAAAACCUGUGCGGGUGAUGUGGAUGAGGGGCGAGCAGGAGGAGCCUGGCACUCGGCAGGGAGACGUCAUGCCCAAUGCCGACUCGACUUGGUAUCUGCGAGUAACCCUGGAUGUGGCGGCUGGGGAGGUGGCUGGCCUGAGUUGCCAAGUGAAGCACAGCAGUCUAGGAGACCAGGACAUCAUCCUGUACUGGAAUGGGAAUCAUGUCUCCAGGGGCUUGAUUGUCAUCCUGGUACUACUGGUGUUCGUCCUUCUGUUUGUUGGAGGCUUAGUCUUCUGGUUUAGGAAGCACCGCCGCUAUCAAGAUAUCCCAUGACUCUCCUCACCACACCUAUCUGUCUGGACUUCAGGAUCUCAGGGCUUUAGCCCUCAGAAUUUGAGGGUUACCUUGAAGAAGCAGAGAACAGGCAGCUCUUGUCACACAUUUUGAACAUUUUAUCUAAGAGGAUUUUGUUUUUUCUUUUAGUAUACUGCAAGUGUAUAUGUCCCAAGUAGUUCUGUAAAAAACAGAAGUGCAAACUCAGAUACCUCUCAGGGACAAGCAGAUAAAGGCUGCAGUGUAACUGUGUGUGAUCCUUAUUUGAAUGAUGGAAUAUGCAGUCAACUGGAAGAUCCUUUUCCUGUUCCAAGGAAGCAAGUGCAACUGUUCCUUGUGAAGUAUAAAGUAAGACUUUGGCUUGGCUGUAACCCACCUUUUUUUUCAAGAAAAACAGGUCUAGCAUUAUAGGUG